ensembl:lncRNA
GUAGUUGUAACGAGUGUAGUAACGAGUGUAGUAAUGAGUGUAGUUGUAACGAGUGUAGUAACGAGUGUAGUAACGAGUGUAGUUACGAGUGUAGUAAUGAGUGUAGUUGUAACGAGUGUAGUAACGAGUGUCUCUGAGCAAGACACUGUACGUGUGUGAAGGAGACAGACAACAAAACGCCCCUAAAGCUGCCAAUCAAAAACAAUGCAACGUUAAAAAGCAGCGUCUGGCGUUGCACAACAUGCAAAACCUCCAGAUACCGAUGAGUAUUUGUAGCGCUCACAGUGCAGAGACACAGCGGACAGAAGAUCAGAGAGACCUGAAUCCACUGCAGGCAGAGCCUCCCGUCAACAGUCAUGUCAGCCAACUCUUCCUCCUUCAACUUGUCUGCAGACCUGCAGAUCUGCAUCGACAGCACAUCCUGCGCCUCCGGCAUGAUCGCUUUCACCGUCUGCAGCCUCCUGCUGGUCCUCCCUCCCUGCGUCUACGUCGUCUACCUGGGACUCAAACAACGGCGCUCCGGCACGGCGGCGAGCCACUCCGACGUCUUCACCUACCACGUGCAUGAACAUGUGCGGCCAGCAGCUGUUUCACUCUCUGACCUGUGUGGAGCGCUACCUGGCCGUCGUUCACCCCGUCACCUACCUGGGCCUGAAGAACCAGAAGGGCGUCAGAGUCAGAAACGUCUCCAUCGGAUGUGUUUGGCUGCUGUGCUUCGCAUACAUAAGUACACUAUUUUUGGGGACCUUUUUUUCCUCAUACAUCCUCUCCUUUUGCGUCACAUUGUUUAACUUCGUCCUCAUCUCCUUCUGCAGCCUUUCUGUUCUCUGUGUUCUGAUCGGUCCAGGGCCGGGGACGGGGCCCGGGGGGGGGAGCAGGCAGCGGGUCGACCAAUUAAAGAUGAGAGCGUUCUACACCAUCACGGUCAUACUGGGGGUACUGUUGCUGAAGCUUGGGGGGUCUACAGCUAACUUUGUCAUAUAUUCCUUAAAAGACCUGACGCGGUCUGAUGGUUGGAUUGUGUGGUUGUGUUUGACCUGGUUGUCUCUGCCCAGCAGUCUCCUGCUGCCGCUGCUCUUUCUUCACAGGGACGGAAAACUUGUGUGUCGCAAGACCGUCGAGGACUGAGGACACGGGUCAGAUUAGGUGGUGAUCUUCUUUCGGCUGUGUGUCUUGGUUCUUUGUUGGAAUGUGAUCCUCCUCGUUGGCAAACGUCUUGAUCCAGACAAGCAACAUUUGUUCUAUUGAACAGUCACAGGGGAUUUAAUCAGAAUAAAAUAUGAAACAAGUUAGCAAAAGGCUGGACUAAAGUCUCCUUUACGGCCUCUUUUUGUCUUAAAAUAACAAAUGACCUUCUGAGACUGACAGGUGUGAUUUGAAUGAACACCGGUUUUAAGUUACAGAUCAUGUGAAUCCAGUCUCACCUCCACGUAAAAUACAAAAAUACAAAAACAGGCUCAUUCCCAAUAAUGAAAUACACGAUGCAAGUACAUAUUUAAUAUGAAAGUAUAUUUAAUGUCCUGUAGGCUGGUAUUGUCUUGUGUGCCUGAAGAAAACGUAGUUCCCUGAAAUGUAUUUGCAUGUAUAAUCCUAAAAUAUAGUGGUUGCAGUUUUUAUGUGCAUUAACACAAACAUUCACAAUGUUUGUUUUUUUAAAUGACUGAAUAAAUCAUCAUUAUCGGC